CAGAUAAUCCAUCUCGCGAUCGUACCAAAUAUCGCGUUUCACUUUCUCCUUCAUUCCGUCAGUUUUCGGCCCCAUUUCAUCCAAAUAUCACCUGUGCAAAAACAACACUGCAAACACAUCAGAAUAAUUUUUAAAUACUUAUGUCAUGCUUGUUUCGUGUAAAUUCGGGUGCUUUGUUUUCAGAAAUCGUUUGCAAGUUUCAACGUCAUUGGCCGAAAUUAGCCCCGCCUUACUUUUAACAAGUUUAGCGAAAAAAAUGCUAAGCCGACAUAAGUAUCAAAAAAAAAAUUUCAAAAUCACGUCUUAAGUGAAGAACGAUAAGUUUUACUUAUCGAGCCGAACUUGACUUAUGUCGGCUUGGCAAAAGUUGGCUUAAGUCGACUUUUGGCUAAGCAAAAGUACGGUGUUCAAAAUUCGACCCCUGGUUGAAGCACGAUAAGCGCUAGCCCCCUCGGAAAAGGGAGACGGCAUGCACUCUUUUGGGCGAGUUACCAAAAGGAUUCCAGGGUAAACGACUUUUGGUUGCAGGUUUCCGACACUUGGACAUCUGGCACACGACGCCAGGACAUCUGCCCAUCGACUUUAGGAAUAGUGGUUCCCGACAUUUGGACACACAACAAAAUGUUGCUGAACCCAAUUAGCAGAAUACUCGACCAGUACUCAGCGACGAAAAGACUUCCAGUUAAACGACGAGUGGACUCCUAGGCAAUCGACGUUCGAACUCCCGGGAACUCCUCAUCCAGCGACAAAAGGACUCCCAAUCCAGUGACGCACGGAUUUGCUUAUUUGUUGCAGCUGAAGGAUCGUUAAGAACAUAGGUAUUUUUAAUUGACUAUGAUUAUUGUAUAGAUAUUUGUGCUUACAUUUAUCGGCUGGAUAACUUAUUUAUUUUUAUUAUAGAAGAAAAGUUUAAUUACAAUUAUGUAAAUAUUGUACUCUGAAAUGGAACGAACAUGGGUAACCAUGUUUGUUCCAGUCAGACUUCAGAACACAAACAGAUUGUAGUUCAAAUGUUAAUGUAUUAAACAACAUAAAUACAAAAUUCUUCGUUCA